GAGAAAGAGAGAGAGAGAGAAGAUUGGAAGAUCGGACAGAAAAUGAUGUUACUAUGGAAUUUAGGGAACAGAAAUGAGAGAUAAGUACAAAUAACUGUUUUUAAAUUGCAUUUACAAUAAACCUAUAAGUCAAAGAAAAUGUGAACAUGUUUAUUAUAAGUUCAAAAAAAAAAAAUCACUAUAUAUGAAAAGAUAUGCAGGCCUCUACCUGAUAGGCAAAAAUUAUUACAGCAUGAGAACUCUAUAGAAACUUUUCAACAGCUCUUUAAGUGGACUCUCAAAAGCAAGGAAAUACCAAACGUUAAUUUAUGUAUUGUUGGGACAAAGCCUUGCCCUUGCCUCUUCCUAUAUAUGGUGUAAUAUAGCCAGCAGCCUUACCCUUUUUUUUCACUAUUUUCCUUUUGCUGGUCAUUUGUCAAAUAAAUAAAAUUGAGAUUAUGGUGGUUGAGAUAUAGAAAUGACAAGCAGAGAAAAUGAAGUUGUCAGGAAAAAUCACCCAAACCAAAGAGAAAGUUAUAACUUCCCUAAUCUACAAAAACAAGUAUCCAAAUUACAAAUUAAAUCAUCAUUAUUUCUCAAGGUCCACAUUGAAAAAAAAAAAGUUCCUUUAUCUCAUUCUCCUUAUAUCACCUAUUACAUCUCUAAAUAUAAUUUCUUUUAUUCCUAGAGCAUCCUAAGUUAUAACCGCAAAUUUCACAUUUCGCUGCUAGUUACUACUAAUUAAACCUCUUAAUGUAAUGUUAUCCUGACAAACAUAACUAAGCAUUCACCCUAGGAAGACCCUUUAUAAUCAACUAAAAAAAUCAGGAAAUUUUAAUAAAUUGGAUCCAUGAAAUUGAGCAUGCAUAAGUCAAUCCUAGGACUAUGAAGUUUUACUUUAGAAGCAUCAAAUAUCUGUCUCAGUUAAGAAAAAAAAAAUCCUUUUUUUAAACAAAAGCAGCCCCAACACAGGUAUCGUUGAUUCUUCUAUUAAUAUCCGAGAAAAAUUUCUGAAUGUGCCAUCUCUGCCCAUGAUAUCAAACUAAAUUAUCAUAAAUUUGAGAUUACUCUCUCUGUUGACCUGAAGGAUGUUAGUACUAAGGAAGGAAUGACUAAGAUGCAUUUAAGCUACAGUACAAUCGAAGUAGCAGAAUGCAAAAGGAGCUUAAAACAAAUAGCAAAUUGGUUCUAUCAAGUGGCAUAAACCAUAUAGGAGUCAGCCCAACCAGUAAGAAACCUUUUGGUUUUCACUGAAGCAUUCCCAAGUGACAGCAAAAUAGAUUGGAAAAUCAACCUUUUGCAGGUGAGGAAAGAUGGAAGAAGAAGAUCAUGAAAAAAGUCCCAGGUUGAUUGACCAAAGCACAGGAUUAAUAAAUAAAUCAACAAGUAAACUAGGAAAGAAGACAAGAAUUUCUUUCUAGAAAAAAAGAUCAAGACUCAAAUGGUUGAACGAAAGAAAGCAAAUUAUGGUGAGAAAGUUGAUCCAUCUAUUAACAAGCCUAUCAUCAGUCUUGACAGCGCAUAGAGGGUGAAUCAAAUUAAGCCACCAUCCAAAAUACUUACGCCAAUACAGUGAAAACCAGAAUAGCCACCAAA
rnacentral:misc_RNA from 1 species